AGAUGAAGACUGGCUUGUGCAGAAUCCUUCUGCUAUCUUAUGCAUACAAAAGGGAAGCCUAAACCAAGUGUUAGUACGAGGUUUCAGUGAAAACCGCUGGUGGCUAUGCACCCUUGGAACUGAAGAUGGCUUUCUGCUAUACCGUGACUGUGUACAAAAUGCUGCCUUUCAAGUUGGAAUUACAAGGACCACCGCGGACAGGUCUGCCCUGUGAGGCCUGAGGGAAUAGGGCUGUUUGAAAUGGUGGGAAGGGGACCAGCAUGGAGGUGGUGUGUCCCCCACCAGCACCCCGGAUUGGAAAAGACCCAUCAGAAGAGUCUGAAUACGAUGUCUGCUUGUGAUGUUCAAGAUGCCUUUUCCUGUAUGAGGAGACGAGUUACAGCUUUUGUGACGUUACUGUCGUCAGCCUCCGGCAGAGGUGGUGGUACCUACCCAGUGUUAAGCAAAGUCGAGCAUUUCACAGUGAAGCUGAUGUUGGCCAACUUUGAUGUGUAACUGAGGUCUUGACUCCCUUUUUAUCUAGGCUGUUCUGGAAGCAGAUUUUUUCCGGACCUCCAAUACUAGUACUGGGAAAUGGCGUUGCUAAAAGAAUUGAAGUUUGUACACGCCAGAACAGGGAUCAGAGUAAAUGAUAUAUUAGAAGGCUGCUCCUUGGUUAAAUGAUUGGUUUUGGACAUAAAACAAGCCUUCGAGUUAAAUGAAAUGAGUAAGAAGGUAUUUUCAAGCACUAAAAUACGUGACAAAAGAUAGGAAAGUGGUGGGGUUUAUGUUUAAAGAAAAAACAACAGUGUGGAUUGUGUUUAAGUUGCAGUAGAGUUUAAAAGAGCUCAGAAGUAUUAGUUACCUAGAGAAAUUGUAUGAGCCAGCAACAGCUUAAAAGGACUGGAAUGAAAUGUUAACCAAUGGGGAGAUUAAAGCUGCAGCAAGAUUUCACUGUCUGUGCAGUUGAGUUGGAAGUUAUGAUAAAAAUGCCUGCUGUCCUAAUGUAGCCCAAUAAAAAGAUGAAAAACCAUGAAUGAAAUGAAUAAUGGAAGAUGAAUUUUGAUGCGAAGAGAUUUUAACAUUGCACUGUAAUAUAUCACCAUGUUUUUGUGAGGGUUUCUCUAUCUAUUAUAAAACUGUUUCAAACUGAUCUAUGAAUAACAGGAUGUUUAUGUUCUAUUUCCUGAA